UACGUAGGGUGCAAGCGUUAAUCGGAAUUACUGGGCGUAAAGCGUGCGCAGGCGGCUUUGCAAGACAGAUGUGAAAUCCCCGGGCUCAACCUGGGAACUGCAUUCGAGACUGCAUUGCUCGAGUAUGGGAGAGGGAAGUGGAAUUUCCGGUGUAGCGGUGAAAUGCGUAGAUAUCGGAAGGAACAUCAGUGGCGAAAGCGACUUCCUGGACCAAUACUGACACUCAAGUGCGAAAGCGUGGGGAGCAAACAGG
rnacentral:rRNA from 1 species